rnacentral:tRNA from 1 species
ACUUUAAAAGGAAUCUAGUUACCGU